rnacentral:tRNA from 1 species
UAGCUCAGUCGGUUGGAGCGUGGUGCUGGUAACACCAAGGUCGCGGGUUCGAUCCCCAC